CUCACCCAUGGCACGAGAGUUCAAAUGAGUCCUGCUACCCUUCAGACGACAAACUUCGAUGUGAACUCAAGACUAACCUACAGUUCCAACACCAUUUGGCAGUGUUAAAUGCUUACAACUAAUUCCAGUGAUUAUACAAGUAUCCCAAGAGAGGAGAGGGAGAGGCUCAAUGUACAACCACUGGACUUUAUUUCAAAAACAAGAUGUCAGAGGGGGACUUUUUACAUUGUAAUCC